rnacentral:misc_RNA from 1 species
AAGUCGUAACAAGGUUUCCGUAGGUGAACCUGCGGAAGGAUCAUUAAUGAAAUUAUGACUGGGGUUGUAGCUGGCCUAUAAAACGGCAUGUGCACGCUCCUUUCACAAUCCACACACACCUGUGCACCUUCGCGGGGGUCUUUUUUUCUCUUCGGGGGAAUAAAGGCUCGCGUCCCUUUACACACCCUUUGUAUGUAUUAAGAAUGUCUACUCGAUGUAAUAAAACGCAUCUAAUACAACUUUCAACAACGGAUCUCUUGGCUCUC